rnacentral:rRNA from 1 species
AGAGUUUGAUCAUGGCUCAGAUUGAACGCUGGCGGCAGGCCUAACACAUGCAAGUCGAACGGUAACAGGAAUCAGCUUGCUGCUUUGCUGACGAGUGGCGGACGGGUGAGUAAUGUCUGGGAAACUGCCUGAUGGAGGGGGAUAACUACUGGAAACGGUAGCUAAUACCGCAUAAUGUCGCAAGACCAAAGAGGGGGACCUUCGGGCCUCUUGCCAUCGGAUGUGCCCAGAUGGGAUUAGCUAGUAGGUGGGGUAAAGGCUCACCUAGGCGACGAUCCCUAGCUGGUCUGAGAGGAUGACCAGCCACACUGGAACUGAGACACGGUCCAGACUCCUACGGGAGGCAGCAGUGGGGAAUAUUGCACAAUGGGCGCAAGCCUGAUGCAGCCAUGCCGCGUGUAUGAAGAAGGCCUUCGGGUUGUAAAGUACUUUCAGCGGGGAGGAAGGGAGUAAAGUUAAUACCUUUGCUCAUUGACGUUACCCGCAGAAGAAGCACCGGCUAACUCCGUGCCAGCAGCCGCGGUAAUACGGAGGGUGCAAGCGUUAAUCGGAAUUACUGGGCGUAAAGCGCACGCAGGCGGUUUGUUAAGUCAGAUGUGAAAUCCCCGGGCUCAACCUGGGAACUGCAUCUGAUACUGGCAAGCUUGAGUCUCGUAGAGGGGGGUAGAAUUCCAGGUGUAGCGGUGAAAUGCGUAGAGAUCUGGAGGAAUACCGGUGGCGAAGGCGGCCCCCUGGACGAAGACUGACGCUCAGGUGCGAAAGCGUGGGGAGCAAACAGGAUUAGAUACCCUGGUAGUCCACGCCGUAAACGAUGUCGACUUGGAGGUUGUGCCCUUGAGGCGUGGCUUCCGGAGCUAACGCGUUAAGUCGACCGCCUGGGGAGUACGGCCGCAAGGUUAAAACUCAAAUGAAUUGACGGGGGCCCGCACAAGCGGUGGAGCAUGUGGUUUAAUUCGAUGCAACGCGAAGAACCUUACCUGGUCUUGACAUCCACGGAAGUUUUCAGAGAUGAGAAUGUGCCUUCGGGAACCGUGAGACAGGUGCUGCAUGGCUGUCGUCAGCUCGUGUUGUGAAAUGUUGGGUUAAGUCCCGCAACGAGCGCAACCCUUAUCCUUUGUUGCCAGCGGUCCGGCCGGGAACUCAAAGGAGACUGCCAGUGAUAAACUGGAGGAAGGUGGGGAUGACGUCAAGUCAUCAUGGCCCUUACGACCAGGGCUACACACGUGCUACAAUGGCGCAUACAAAGAGAAGCGACCUCGCGAGAGCAAGCGGACCUCAUAAAGUGCGUCGUAGUCCGGAUUGGAGUCUGCAACUCGACUCCAUGAAGUCGGAAUCGCUAGUAAUCGUGGAUCAGAAUGCCACGGUGAAUACGUUCCCGGGCCUUGUACACACCGCCCGUCACACCAUGGGAGUGGGUUGCAAAAGAAGUAGGUAGCUUAACCUUCGGGAGGGCGCUUACCACUUUGUGAUUCAUGACUGGGGUGAAGUCGUAACAAGGUAACCGUAGGGGAACCUGCGGUUGGAUCACCU